rnacentral:rRNA from 1 species
CAGUAGCCGCGGGAACACGAAGGGGGCUAGCGUUGUUCGGAUUUACUGGGCGUAAAGGGCGCGUAGGCGGACUGAUAAGUCAGGGGUGAAAUCCCAAGGCUCAACCUUGGAACUGCCUUUGAUACUGUUUGUCUUGAGUUCGAGAGAGGUAAGUGGAACUGCGAGUGUAGAGGUGAAAUUCGUAGAUAUUCGCAAGAACACCAGUGGCGAAGGCGGCUUACUGGCUCGAAACUGACGCUGAGGCGCGAAAGCGUGGGGAGCAAACAGGAUUAGAUACCCCCGUAGUCCCUGUCUCUUAUAC